UCUGCUCAAUUUUUUAAAUUGCUGUGGUAUUUUGACUAUACAAAGGUAUUGAAAUAAGAUUUUAAUUGAAUGCUAAGAGAAUGGAAUUUCAGAAAAAAACUUUUUUCAAGUUAAAAAUUGAAAUUUUUUUAAUUUGUGCAGAAACAAUUAUUAAUAUUAAGGACAAGAAGACCCUAUGAAUUUAUAAAUUUUAUUUAAUAUGUAACUACUAUUAAAAAAAUUUUAGCUGGGGCGGCGGAAAAAUAUUUAAAACUUUUUUAAAAUAAAAUGAUCCAUUAUUAAUGAUUAUAUGUUAAAUACUCUAGGGAUAACAGCG
rnacentral:rRNA from 1 species